rnacentral:antisense_RNA from 1 species
CUUUUUGGCGGCUGUACGUGGGAGGCCUUGUGCCUGCCGGGUUCCUUUUGCCUCGGUUUCCAGCCCGCGUACAGCUGCCACCUUU